UACGAAGGGGGCUAGCGUUAUUCGGAUUUACUGGGCGUAAAGCGCGCGUAGGCGGCCGUUUAAGUCAGAUGUGAAAGCCCGGGGCUCAACCCCGGAAGUGCAUUUGAUACUGCUUGGCUUGAGUAUGGGAGAGGGAAGUGGAAUUCCUGGUGUAGAGGUGAAAUUCGUAGAUAUCAGGAGGAACACCGGUGGCGAAGGCGACUUCCUGGACCAAUACUGACGCUGAGGCG
rnacentral:rRNA from 1 species